rnacentral:rRNA from 1 species
UACGGAGGGUGCGAGCGUUAAUCGGAAUUACUGGGCGUAAAGCGCAUGCAGGUGGUUAGUUAAGUCAGAUGUGAAAGCCCGGGGCUCAACCUCGGAAGGCCAUUUGAAACUGGUUAACUAGAGUACUGUAGAGGGGGGUAGAAUUCCAGGUGUAGCGGUGAAAUGCGUAGAGAUCUGAAGGAAUACCGGUGGCGAAGGCGGCCCCCUGGACAGAUACUGACACUCAGAUGCGAAAGCGUGGGGAGCAAACAGG